CCUACGGGGGGCAGCAGUGAGGAAUAUUGGUCAAUGGUCGGGAGACUGAACCAGCCAAGCCGCGUGAGGGAGGAAGGUACAGAGUAUCGUAAACCUCUUUUGUCAGGGAACAAAGACUGGGACGCGUCCCCGGAUGAGUGUACCUGAAGAAAAAGCAUCGGCUAACUCCGUGCCCGCAGCCUCGGUAAUACUGAGGAUGCGAGCGUUAUCGGGAUUUAUUGGGUUUAAAGGGUGCGCAGGCGGUCUGUUAAGUCAGCGGUCAAAGCCCGGGGCUCAACCCCGGCCCGCCGUUGAAACUGGCAGUCUCGAGUGGGAGAGAAGUAUGCGGAAUGCGUGGUGUAGCGGUGAAAUGCAGAGAUAUCGCGCAGAACUCCGAUUGCGAAGGCAGCAUGCCGGCGCCACACUGACGCUGAGGCACGAAAGCGUGGGGAUCGAACAGGAUUAGAUACCCUUGUAGUC
rnacentral:rRNA from 1 species